rnacentral:tRNA from 1 species
UCCCUGGUGGCUUAGACGGUAAAGCGUGUGUCUGCAAUACAGGAGACCUGGGCUUGAUCCCUGGUUUGGGAA